rnacentral:rRNA from 1 species
GGAUUAGAUACCCUGGUAGUCCACGCCGUAAACGAUGAUCACUAGAUGUUGGCGAUACAAUGUCAGUAUCUGAGCGAAAGCAUUAAGUGAUCCACCUGGGGAGUACGGUCGCAAGAUUGAAACUCAAAGGAAUUGACGGGGGCCCGCACAAGCGGUGGAGCAUGUGGUUUAAUUCGAUGGUACGCGAGGAACCUUACCUAGGCUUAAAUGUAGAUUGACGUAUUGGGAAACCAGUAUUUCUUCGGACAAUUUACAAGGUGCUGCAUGGUUGUCGUCAGCUCGUGCCG